rnacentral:rRNA from 1 species
UGAAUACGAGACGCUAAGGCGUCGAAGUAGUGUAUGUCAUACUUCCAAGAAAAGCUUGCACUGUCAUAGAUAAAAAACGCCUGUACCAUAACCGACACAGGUGGGUAGGUAGAGUAUACUAAGGGGCGCGAGAUAACUCUCUCUAAGGAACUCGGCAAAAUAACUCCGUAACUUCGGGAGAAGGAGUGCCUUAUUCGUAAGGUUGCAAUAACAAGAUCCAAGCAACUGUUUAUCAAAAACACAGGUCUCCGCUAAGUCGUAAGACGAUGUAUGGGGGCUGACGCCUGCCCAAUGCCAGAAGGUUAAAGAAGUUGGUUAGUAAUUGCGAAGCUGAUAACUGAAGCCCUGGUGAACGGCGGCCGUAACGAUAACGGUCCUAAGGUAGCGAAAUUCCUUGUCGGGUAAGUUCCGACCCGCACGAAAGGCGUAAUGAUUUGGAUACUGUCUCGGAGAGGGGCUCGGUGAAAUAGACUUGUCUGUGAAGAUGCGGACUACCUGCACCAGGACAGAAAGACCCUAUGAAGCUUUACUGUAACUUGAAAUUGAAAUUGGACUUUAUUCGCGCAGUAUAGGUGGGAGGCGUUGAUUAUAAUCUUGUGGGAUUAUUGGAGCCAUCAGUGAGAUACCACUCUUGUAAUGUUAGAUUUCUAGCUUUGAAUCAUUAUCUGGUCAAAGAACAGUUUCAGGCGGGCAGUUUGACUGGGGCGGUCGCCUCCUAAACGGUAACGGAGGCGUACAAAGGUUUCCUCUGAACGGUUAGAAAUCGUAUCUAGAGUGUAAAGGCAUAAGGAAGCUUGACUGUGAGACCUACAAGUCGAGCAGGGACGAAAGUCGGUCUUAGUGAUCUGACGGUACUGAGUGGAAAGGCCGUCACUCAACGGAUAAAAGUUACUCUAGGAUAACAGGCUGAUCUCCCCCAAGAGUUCACAUCGACGGGGAGGUUUGGCACCUCGAUGUCGGCUCAUCGCAUCCUGGGGCGGUAGUACGUCCCAAGGGUUGGGCUGUUCGCCCAUGAAAGCGGUACGCGAGCUGGGUUCAGAACGUCGUGAGACAGUUCGGUCCAUAUCCGGUGUAGGCGUUAGAAUAUUGAGAGGAGCCUUCUUUAGUACGAGAGGACCGAGAAGGACAUACCUCUGGUGUACCAGUUAUCGUGCCAACGGUAAACGCUGGGUAGCUAUGUAUGGAGUGGAUAACCGCUGAAAGCAUCUAACUGGGAAGCCCACCUCAAGAUAAG